GUCUUGCUGCGGCUCUCGUCGAAGGCAUCUAAUCCCGGGGACCUUAAUUCACCUCUUCGGGAGCUGUCCCUGUCCCGACCCGUGGGUUUGGACACACGGCGCCCACCUGGCAUGCCAGGUCCGAGGGGAUUGAAACGCCUUCACGGCUCUUCGCGGCGCCGCC
rnacentral:other from 1 species